GCCGUAUCCUGCCGCCCGUUUUACCCGCGGGAAAGCCGAGGCCCGGUGCUGUAUUCUGCCGCCCAUUUUACCCGCGGGGAAGCUGAGGCCCAGUGCUGUUUAAUAUCUUACUCAUGUUCACUUGAUGAGAAAGUGACAGAUCUGAGACAAACCCAGUUCUAGAGGUUAUGACACCAGCCAUGGAAGAGCAGAGAGGCCAAUGAGGUGGGGAGGUUGGAAACAAAAGGCCUUCUCCACCCCAGCUUGACCAACCCAAAAGCUGGAAGGCAAGGAAGACCUAGUUUGAGAUUCCAAAUACGAUUUCUGUGGAGAAAACAAAAAAGGACUCUGUUUUUAAUUCAAAAGGGAGAAGUGAAAUUCUACCUCACUUUUUUAAAAGAAGAGCCUGGAAUUGGCCUAUCCGUCUUUUUCCCCGUUGGAUCACAGAGCAGAAAGGAAGGUGGGCGUUUGUGUUCUGGGUGUUGUCCACGCUGGACGUGCCAGCAUCUCCCACUGAGCCAGAUGUUCCAGGGCUAAGGCCAGUUUCAUUUGAAGGCACAGCCUUACUAUAUCAUGUGAGAAAACUGUGAUGCGGUCGACUGGCACCUAGCAUUGCCCCCAUCUGGAACAUCUGCAGCCUAGAUCUGUUCUGAUGAAGUAGAAGCCGCAGAUCUUAUCCUGAAACAGGCCAGGUGCAAGUGUCCUCUUAGAAGGGAUCAACCAUGGGAUGCGGCAUUAAGAGAAGAGAGAAGGACAUCCUUACAACUGUGCCUUUCUUUCAACUCAGUCGUGCGCAUUAGGCUUGUAUCAGUUAAAGUGCAGGCAAGAAAUUUCAAGCAGAAAGGGAGUCAGGUGCUCAUAGCAUUGCUGGCAGAAUUGAGAGCAGCGGGAGCCAUGGGAUGGGGGUGCUGCCUGGAAAUCAGGAAACUGGAGAAGCCUGCUGGAACCUGCUGAGGAACCCAUCACUGCAGCAAGAGACUGAUGGUGGACUGCAGGGGCCAGGAAGGUGCAGGAAGCCCCUGCUGCUGCAGGAGAAAGGAUGAAGGAUGGUUAUCUUCCACCUUCCAAAUCUCACAGGAACACCUCUUCUAGGUGGAAUCCAAACCAGAUUCCUUCUGGAAAGGGAUUCUGGAAAGUGUAGUUCUUAUGCUUCCAGCCUCUGAGAUAAGCAAGGACAAUUGCUGGAGGCGAGGGUGUCGCUGAAUACCAAGGAAGGAUAGCAGGUGUAGUUGCCCACAUGGCCACUCAGCAUCCACAUGGACAUCCCACCCAUGUUAAUUUCCAAAGAGCCAUCACAGAAACAUCAUCAUGCUUCCUCACAAAGAAGAAAUGCUCACCUCCACCCCAAUAGAAAGGGUCCAGGUAUCCAUCUCUGAGUGAUGGUCACCCUCCAUAUUCAGUAAAAAACACCCUCGGAUAGACUGUGGUUGAAAGACUAAACCUUUAGGUUAGCCACAGUCAAUAUAUCUUAUAUAAAAUAAGAGAGGCGGGGAGAGCAGGGGAAAGAGAUACUGGGUUAUGUGUGUAAAAACAUACACAAUAAAGCAAACAAGAAACGCU
ensembl:lncRNA MIR646HG MIR646 host gene